AGCGGCGGACGGUGAAGUCAAUUGCUCGGGAAACUCGCCUGAUCGGAGGGGGAUAACUACUGGAAACGGUAGCUAAUACGCAUAACGUCGCAAGACCAAAGAGGGGGACCUUCGGGCCUCUUGCCAUCAGAUGUGCCCAGAUGGGAUUAGCUAGUAGGUGGGGUAACGGUCACCUAGGCGACGAUCCCUAGCUGGUCUGAGAGGAUGACCAGCCACACUGGAACCGAGACACGGUCCAGACUCCUACGGGAGGCAGCAGUGGGGAAUAUUGCACAAUGGGCGCAAGCCUGAUGCAGCCAUGCCGCGUGUAUCGAAGAAGGCCUUCGGGUUGUCAAAGUACUUUCAGCGGGGAGGAAGGUGUGGGUAAUAAACCAAGAAUNCGGACAGUCAAACCCCGCAAGAAAAGAACAGCCACCCGGGGGUUUAAAAUUCCCCGGUUGCCAAGCAAAGCCGGACGGGAUCAAAUAUACACGGGACAGGGGGUGCGACAACGGCGGUUAACACAACAGGGGAAAAAUACACNCGGGGGGACGCCACAAAAGGGCGACAACACAAGGGAGGGACCAUCGGGACACAAAAGACAGGACAUCGGGCGCAAAA
rnacentral:rRNA from 1 species